GGGAGUCAGACUGCACGAGAUAAGUUGGGCAGUCAAAAGGGAAAGAGCCCAGACCUUCAGUUAAGGUCCCAAAGUGUGCGUUAAGUGGAAAAGGAUGUGGGAUUUCGAAGACAACCAGGAUGUUGGCUCAGAAGCAGCCAUUCAUUCAAAGAGUGCGUAAUAGCUCACUGGUCGAGAGGUCCUGCGCCGAAAAUGUCCGGGGCUGAAACGCGCCACCGAAACUAAGGAACCGAAAGGUUGGUAGAGGAGCAUUGCAUGCGGGAAGAAGCAGUACCGUAAGGAGCUGUGGACUGCAUGGAAGAGAGAAUGCCGGAAUGAGUAGCGAGAUAGAGGUGGGAAUCCUCUAGGCCGAAUAUCCAAGGUUUCCAGGGUAAAGCUGAUCUGCCCUGGGUAAGUCGGGGCCUAAGGCGAGGACGAGAGUCGUAGCCGAUGGACAACAGGUGGAGAUUCCUGUACUGCGGUAUGACAGAACUGUGGGGACACGUAAGGAAAGCGGAAGCCGGGAAUGGAAAGCCCGGUGCAAGCGGGGUACCAGUCACUCAGGCAAAUCCGGGUGGCAAUGGGAAGCCGUGAUGCGGAGCGAAAUACAAGUAGCGAAGUCCGUGAGCCAUGCGUCAAGAAAAGCCGCUAUUGUUUAUACCGUACCCGUACCGUAAACCGACACAGGUGGAUGAGGAGAGAAUCCUAAGGCCGGCGGAAGAAGCAUUGUCAAGGAACUCGGCAAAAUGACCCCGUAACUUCGGGAGAAGGGGUGCCUGCGAGAGCAGGCCGCAGAGAAUAGGCUCAAGCAACUGUUUAGCAAAAACACAGGUCUAUGCGAAACCGAAAGGUGAGGUAUAUGGGCUGACGCCUGCCCGGUGCUGGAAGGUUAAGAGGAGAGGUUAGCGCAAGCGAAGCUUUGAAUUUAAGCCCCAGUAAACGGCGGCCGUAACUAUAACGGUCCUAAGGUAGCGAAAUUCCUUGUCGGGUAAGUUCCGACCCGCACGAAAGGCGUAAUGAUUUGGGCACUGUCUCGACAAUGCACCCGGUGAAAUUGAAAUACCAGUGAAGAUGCUGGUUACCUGCGCCAGGACGGAAAGACCCCAUGGAGCUUUACUCUAGCUUGAUACUGGGGUUCGGUAUUGCAUGUACAGGAUAGGUGGGAGACUGAGAAGAUGUGUCGCCAGAUGCAUCAGAGUCGAUGUUGGGAUACCACCCCUGCAGUACUGGGCUUCUAACCUGCAGCCGUGACCCGGCUGGGGGACAAUGUCUGGUGGGGAGUUUGACUGGGGCGGUCGCCUCCGAAAGAGUAUCGGAGGCGCUCAAAGGUUCCCUCAGAAUGGUUGGAAACCAUUCGAAGAGUGCAAAGGCAGAAGGGAGCUUGACUGCGACACCGACGG
rnacentral:rRNA from 1 species